AUUAUGGUGGAUGCAAAUGAUUUGAAAGUUUCAGUUGUUUCAUUCAGGACCAAUUCAAGUUGUCGAUGAAUAUUUCAAUGCUGUACUUCUGAACUGCUAUGAUGCAAUAGGAAUAAUGCUUAUGAUUCGGAUAAUUCAUCAGCACCAGCUUAUCAUGUUUAAGCGGCGAAUUCCAUGUUUGGACUCUUACCUAGACAAGGUUAACAUGUCACUCUGGCCUCACUUCAAGAUGGUCUUUGACUUGCAUUUGAGCAGCUUGCGGAAUGCUAAUAUUAAGACUCUUUGGGAGGAUGAUGUGCAUCCUCACUAUGUCACAAGAAGAUAUGCUGAAUUUACAACGUCUCUUGUUCAUCUCAAUGUUGAA